rnacentral:rRNA from 1 species
GACGAACGCUGGCGGCGUGCUUAACACAUGCAAGUCGAACGGAGUGGCGAACGGGUGAGUAACACGUGGGUGAUCUGCCUUGCACUUUGGGAUAAGCUUGGGAAACUGGGUCUAAUACCGGAUAGUGCAAGAUGAGCUCGCGGCCUAUCAGCUGGUUGGUGGGGUAAUGGCCUACCUAGGCGUCUACGGGUAGCCGGCCUGAGAGGGUGUACGGCCACAUGGGUACUGAGAUACGGCCGAGACGCCUACGUGGGGCAGCAUUGGGGAAUAUUGCACAAUAGGCGGAAGCCUGAUGCAGCGACGCCGCGUGGGGGAUGAAUGCCUGCGGGUUGUAAACUCCUUUCGACUGGGACGCGGUACCGGUAUAAGAAGCACCGGGUAACUACGUGCCAGCAGCCGCGGUAAGUC